CUGAUUACCGAGCUUGUUCGCCUAAGUUAUGACACAACAAAAAUAAUAGGGUGGCCAUGCCAGCAAAUGACUUUAUUUGCUCAGGGAUGUACUGGAAACGGUGGGUCCUUCCGUAUUUGAAAAGGUAUCUAUGCA
rnacentral:ncRNA from 1 species